rnacentral:rRNA from 1 species
GGUCUCGCUGAUCCCUCCUUUCUGAAGAACUGUAAUGUCAUUAAUUUGGUGUUGCAGGGAAACAGGACUGUUACUUUGAAAAAAUUAGAGUGUUUAAAGCAGGCUAACGCUUGAAUACAUUAGCAUGGAAUAAUGAAAUAGGACGUUCAAACCUAUUUUGUUGGUUUCUAGGAUUGACGUAAUGAUUAAUAGGGAUAGUUGGGGGCAUUAGUAUUCAAUUGUCAGAGGUGAAAUUCUUGGAUUUAUUGAAGACUAACUACUGCGAAAGCAUUUGCCAAGGAUGUUUUCAUUAAUCAAGAACGAAAGUUAGGGGAUCGAAGACGAUCAGAUACCGUCGUAGUCUUAACCAUAAACUAUGCCGACUAGGGAUCGGAUGAUGUUAAUUUUUUAAUGACUCAUUCGGCGCCUUACG